UACGAAGGGGGCUAGCGUUGCUCGGAAUUACUGGGCGUAAAGGGAGCGUAGGCGGACAUUUAAGUCAGGGGUGAAAUCCCGGGGCUCAACCUCGGAAUUGCCUUUGAUACUGGGUGUCUUGAGUGUGAGAGAGGUAUGUGGAACUCCGAGUGUAGAGGUGAAAUUCGUAGAUAUUCGGAAGAACACCAGUGGCGAAGGCGACAUACUGGCUCAUUACUGACGCUGAGGCUCGAAAGCGUGGGGAGCAAACAGGAUUAGAUACCCGCGUAGUCC
rnacentral:rRNA from 1 species